GUGCUAAUACAUGCAAGUCGAACGAACGGAGGAAGAGCUUGCUCUUCCAAAGUUAGUGGCGGACGGGUGAGUAACACGUGGGCAACCUGCCUGUAAGUUGGGGAUAACUCCGGGAAACCGGGGCUAAUACCGAAUGAUARARUGUGGCGCAUGCCACGCUUUUGAAAGAUGGUUUCGGCUAUCGCUUACAGAUGGGCCCGCGGUGCAUUAGCUAGUUGGUAGGGUAAUGGCCUACCAAGGCAACGAUGCAUAGCCGACCUGAGAGGGUGAUCGGCCACACUGGGACUGAGACACGGCCCAGACUCCUACGGGAGGCAGCAGUAGGGAAUCUUCCGCAAUGGACGAAAGUCUGACGGAGCAACGCCGCGUGUAUGAAGAAGGUUUUCGGAUCGUAAAGUACUGUUGUUAGAGAAGAACAAGGAUAAGAGUAACUGCUUGUCCCUUGACGGUAUCUAACCAGAAAGCCACGGCUAACUACGUGCCAGCAGCCGCGGUAAUACGUAGGUGGCAAGCGUUGUCCGGAUUUAUUGGGCGUAAAGCGCGCGCAGGCGGUCUUUUAAGUCUGAUGUGAAAGCCCCCGGCUUAACCGGGGAGGGUCAUUGGAAACUGGAAGACUGGAGUGCAGAGAGGAGAGUGGAUUC
rnacentral:rRNA from 1 species